UGAAAGUAAUGCCCAAUAGCCCCUUAAAGAGGAAGUGCACUUUGGUUGAAUGGGAAAAUUAAGAAUAGCUGCUCAUUAAUUGGAAUGAAAGUAGCUCACAGUUGGCUACAAUGUGAUGUAAGCUGGCACUUGCGAUGUCAAAAGUGAUGAUUUGUGCCGGAACAAACCACAGAAAAGGAUAAAUCAUCUCAAUCAUGAAAUCACCUCCACUCCAUGCUGAUAUUUUGUUCCGUUUAAGCUCCAUCUCAUAAGAUGUCAGCGCAGUCGGAGCGGGACCCUCCGAAUUGCAGGACGCCUGGACAUGGAGGGGCUCUGCUGAGGCUUUCUUGGCUACUGCCUCCGGAACUGAGAGAGGGGCCAUCGCUGCCGCUUCCACCGGGAGGCACUUCGACCGGACGGUGCAGGCGGUGCUCCAUGCCUUUGUUACUGCAAUGCACAGGUAAUGUUAAGGGUUUCACCUCAUGUGCCUGAUGUGAGACAGUAAGAGGAGCAGCUGGGCCUGGCGCCUGGCCUUCUGCUGCACGGAGCACCCUGAUUGGCUGAUGUGAUGUAUGAGGGCGUCGGUGAUAGUGUCCAGCAUGCCUUGCACAGCCACGCUGUCGUGGAGCGGCUCCAUCGUACCCGUGCAGAACGCAAACGCGCCUAUAGAGAAAGAGAGACGUUUUUGGAAGCAGCACGGAAGAGCUCGAUUGAAAGACAAACAUGAAUAAAAGUUUUGGGGCGGAGGUUGAAUGGCGAGUGCCCACGCAGCAAUCACUGGGUUUUGGGGCACAGCAGCUGAGUCGUCGCAGUCAUCAAUCUGGUAUUUUCACUUUGCCGCUCCGUGGAAUAGCUUCAUCUGUGGGACCUGCUCGGCCCUGUGUGUGCCGUCUCGUUGCCAUGGCAGUGCUUAUUGGCCUCAUCAGUGGUACGUGCCUUGCCAGGACAUCAUGUUCAGCGCAACGUCUCGGUAGAGACGCGUACAGGUGCAUCUCGAUAAGUAAAGACCGCCAUGCAAAAUAAAUACAUGACCCUACAGAAUGAAGGACUUUCAAUUGUUUUCGAAUCAAACUUUUAAAAUGAAUGAACUUUGUAAGAUAUUCUAAUGUAUUGAGAGACGCACCACUGGGCACCUUUGGGCAACAACCAUAAAAAAUAAACAAAUAAAAUGUCGCCUUACCAGAGUUGAGCAAGACGAUUGCUUUGAGGCAGACAAACUCCUCAGGCUUGAGUCUGAGCAUGCGGAAACGCGAGGCAGUGGCCAGCAGCAUGUCAAAGAUCUCAGCCAUGCCUUCAACACAAUCUCCUUCGGCCCUGCACAUCACACAAACAUAAGAGUAACAAGCCAUUUGCACUAUUUUGUCAACUGUCAUAUACUAGUCCUCCCUUGGAUAGUUUGUGCACUACACCAGCCCCUGUGUGCUCAUCAUGGUCUUCCUUUACUCCUGUCAGCCUACAGGAUGUUCAGCUUUUAGUGGGCAAGAUAAAACCCACAUCGAGCCCUGUGGACAUUGUUCCUA